UCUGAGCAAAAAUUUGGCUGAUGUCUGUGAGUCGUACGACACGAUGCUAAAUUUUUACACUAAGAUAUGAUAAGAGCAAUAAAUUGUACCGAAGAUUUUCACAGUCAUUUAGUGCUUUCAAUAUUGUGUCCACCAUGUCCAAAUUCUUCAUGCUAACGUACAAAUUCGUUCCGGAUGUUCUAACUAAGAGGGUACCCGUGCGUGCUGAACAUCUGCAGCUAGCAGAGAAAUACGCAACGGAAGGAAAGUUACUUCUUGGUGGCGCUUUCGCCGAUCCAGUAGAUUCAUCUGCUGCGAUUUUUAAAACCGAUACUAAAGAAGAUAUUGAGAAAUUUGUUCGAGCCGAUCCAUAUGUACAGAAAGGAAUUGUGACUGAGUGGAGUAUUCGUGAGUGGACAGUUGUGGUGGGAGCAUU